rnacentral:rRNA from 1 species
ACCAGACUCCUACGGGAGGCAGCAGUGAGGAAUAUUGGUCAAUGGGCGGAAGCCUGAACCAGCCAAGUCGCGUGAGGGACUAAGGCCCUGCGGGUCGUAAACCUCUUUUGCCGGGGAGCAGUGGUCCGGACGCGUCCGGACCGGGAGAGUACCCGGAGAAAAAGCAUCGGCUAACUCCGUGCCAGCAGCCGCGGUAAUACGGAGGAUGCGAGCGUUAUCCGGAUUUAUUGGGUUUAAAGGGUGCGUAGGCGGGCGCUUAGGUCAGCGGUAAAAUUGCGGGGCUCAACCUCGUCGAGCCGUUGAAACUGGGUGCCUUGAGUGGGCGAGAAGUACGCGGAAUGCGUGGUGUAGCGGUGAAAUGCAUAGAUAUCACGCAGAACCCCGAUUGCGAAGGCAGCCUUCCGGCGCCCUACUGACGCUGAGGCACGAAAGUGCGGGGAUCGAACAGGAUUAGAUCCCCUCGUA